rnacentral:rRNA from 1 species
CCCUUAGAUGUCCGGGGCCGCACGCGUGCUACACUGAAGGAAUCAGCGUGGCUUUCUCCCUGACCCGAAAGGGUUGGGAAACCCGUUGAAUCUCCUUCGUGAUAGGGAUUAGGGCUUGAAAUUGUUCCCCAUGAACGAGGAAUUCCCAGUAAGCGCGAGUCAUAAGCUCGCGUUGAUUACGUCCCUGCCCUUUGUACACACCGCCCGUCGCUCCUACCGAUUGAGUGGUCCGGUGAGGCUUUGGGAUCUGAGCGGAAAGAGCGUUUCGCUGUUUCUGCUCGGAAAACUCAGUCGAACCUUAUCAUUUAGAGGAAGGAGAAGUCGUAACA